AGAGUUUGAUCCUGGCUCAGGACGAACGCUGGCGGCGCGCCUAACACAUGCAAGUCGAACGAGAGAGAGGGAGCUUGCUUCCUUGAUCGAGUGGCGAACGGGUGAGUAACGCGUGAGGAACCUGCCUCAAAGAGGGGGACAACAGUUGGAAACGACUGCUAAUACCGCAUAAGCCCACGGCUCGGCAUCGAGCAGAGGGAAAAGGAGCAAUCCGCUUUGAGAUGGCCUCGCGUCCGAUUAGCUAGUUGGUGAGGUAACGGCCCACCAAGGCGACGAUCGGUAGCCGGACUGAGAGGUUGAACGGCCACAUUGGGACUGAGACACGGCCCAGACUCCUACGGGAGGCAGCAGUGGGGAAUAUUGCACAAUGGGGGAAACCCUGAUGCAGCGACGCCGCGUGGAGGAAGAAGGUCUUCGGAUUGUAAACUCCUGUUGUUGAGGAAGAUAAUGACGGUACUCAACAAGGAAGUGACGGCUAACUACGUGCCAGCAGCCGCGGUAAAACGUAGGUCACAAGCGUUGUCCGGAAUUACUGGGUGUAAAGGGAGCGCAGGCGGGAAGACAAGUUGGAAGUGAAAUCCAUGGGCUCAACCCAUGAACUGCUUUCAAAACUGUUUUUCUUGAGUAGUGCAGAGGUAGGCGGAAUUCCCGGUGUAGCGGUGGAAUGCGUAGAUAUCGGGAGGAACACCAGUGGCGAAGGCGGCCUACUGGGCACCAACUGACGCUGAGGCUCGAAAGUGUGGGUAGCAAACAGGAUUAGAUACCCUGGUAGUCCACACCGUAAACGAUGAUUACUAGGUGUUGGAGGAUUGACCCCUUCAGUGCCGCAGUUAACACAAUAAGUAAUCCACCUGGGGAGUACGACCGCAAGGUUGAAACUCAAAGGAAUUGACGGGGGCCCGCACAAGCAGUGGAGUAUGUGGUUUAAUUCGA
rnacentral:rRNA from 1 species